UACGUAGGGGGCAAGCGUUGUCCGGAAUCAUUGGGCGUAAAGCGCGCGUAGGCGGCCCGGUAAGUCCGUUCUGAAAGUCCAGGGCUCAACCCUGGAAAGCGGGUGGAUACUGCCGGGCUAGAAUCCGGAAGAGGCGAGUGGAAUUCCUGGUGUAGCGGUGGAAUGCGCAGAUAUCAGGAGGAACACCAAUAGCGAAGGCAGCUCGCUGGGACAGUAUUGACACUAAGGCGCGAAAGCGUGGGGAGCAAACAGG
rnacentral:rRNA from 1 species